CUUCUCUCUCUUCUCUCUGGCGAUUCAAAUGACGAUUCAAAAACCAGAUCUGCGAUUUCAGGUAAAUCUCUGCUUUCAGAUCUACACAACUAUGCUUCAUAUUCAGGGCUUUUUAUGAUCCCGGAUGGAAGCUUACUGUUGAGGAGUAUUAUGAUCGGCAGAGUAAGCAUAUUUUGGAUACGAUUGUUGAGACUCUGUUGAAGGAUGAAAGGAGGAAGUUUAUUUGGGAAGAGAUGUCGUAUUUGGAGAGGUGAUGGCGGGAUGCUCCGGAUGCGAAAAAGGAGGCUUUGGUUCGGUUGCUGCAGAAUGGACAGUUGGAGAUAGUUGGUGGUGGUUGGGUGAUGAAUGAUGAGGCCAAUUCACAUUAUUUUGCCAUCAUUGAACAGGCUACAUGUUGAGGACCGAGAUAUUGGUUUGUGAAUUUAGGGCUUUUGGCUUGCUUUUAUGAAUGCUAUAGACAGCGAUACAUUGGUUGGGAAAAAAUAAAUUUUAUUUAAAUCUGUAAUGUACUAAAGUUGGAUAUAUAUUAACGGUAUGUUCUAUUUAGGAAGUACACCUCGAUGCUUGAAUUUUGAGAUAAAGAUAAACAAAUAACCAUGGUGCAACUGGAUGGUUUGUUAACACUGGCUGGUCAGGUGGAAGGUAAGUAUUGGGAAAUAUUGUCUGUAUAGUUGUGUUAAUCCAGUGAGAAAAUAAUAUUGCAUACUAAACCAGCCGAUUUCGGGUUUUUUUUUCGGUUUCAGUCCUAAACCAGUUUUUUUGUUGGAAUUUCUACUUUUACUUUUGUUGUUGAAAUGCCCAAAUCGAAGCAAGUUGCCCAGUUUGAUAUCUAAAUGUUUCGGUUAAGGUAUGGUGUUCCCGGAUUAAUGAUGUGGUUUGGUACUGGCCUUGUAAACUGAAUCGGUUGUUUAACUUCUAUUCUAUUUAUAUUUUUGGAAUAUGUAGUUAUGUAUAUGUAUAUGUAUUAUAAUAUUGAAUCCUAAUUAUCAAUGGAAAAUUUUCAUAGUAUACUAAUGGUUUCUUUUUUUUUAAAUACUUGGUUCAAGCCGCCCAAAACGAACCAAGUCGGUUGGUUUGAUAUCUAAAGGGUUCGGUUCUGGUGGUUUGACAGCUUGGUUUGGAACUUUGAACUAACCGUGUAAACCGAACAAGUUAUUUAACUUUAUUGGAGAUAGCUAUGCUGGAGGCAAGGCGUCAGCGUGUUAAAGAAAAUGUUGCCCUUCUCAUUAAGGAAGAGGAAGAAAAGAAAGCGAGGGAAGGCAGUGGUCGUAAAAUAACAAGCAUGGGUACACUACAUUUUCUUUUUUUACUUAAAUUAUAAAUUUUCAACUUUAACCAAAUAAAUGGAUCAAUAUCCUUUGCUUAUUCACCUCGCUUACAUUUGUAAAGGUAAAGACGAUGUUGUCAAAAUGGUUUCGAGUCGGAUAAUUGGUCAAAAUGGGUUCGAGUCUGUUUGAGAUGACCUGGGACACCUUUUUGUCUAAAACAUUCAGCUUUUUAAUAAAUAUUUUCUAACUGUUGUUCCUUUUCCAGUCCGGAAACAUUGAAGAUGCUGAAAUGAAGCGUACAUUUAAUAUGGGAAUCGGUUGUUUAACUUCUAUUAUAUUUAUAUUUUUGGAAUAUGUAGUUAUGUAUAUGUAUAUGUAUUAUAAUAUUGAAUCCUAAUUAUCAAUGGAAAAUUUUCAU